CACGGUGCCAUCACAGGGGCGACCUCCACCGCUGUUGGCAGCCGCCCCCGUGCGACGUUGCGGCGGCAGGAGCCCCCGCCGGCCCCGAAAGGCUGCUACUGUUGCGUCCCAGCGAAACUAUGCGCGGCGUUGUAACGUCACCGUGCCAGGUUAGAAAAGGACGCCUUCCAUCUUGCUUCCGUAACAUGCCGCCUGCCUGUUCGCUACCCCUUUCCUUGUGCGUCUGCCGCCCUGCCGCCCCUCCCAUACACACACACACGCACACGCCCUCCCAUCCCCCAUCUCUCCCCCUUCUCCCCACCUGCUCCAGGUCCAGGUCCUGCAGCAGCAUGUCCUUGACGUCGCGCUGGUCCUUCUGCACCAGCACCU
rnacentral:lncRNA from 1 species